rnacentral:misc_RNA from 1 species
UCCGAGUUGACCCCGGCAGUCUCCCAUGAGUCCCCGGCAUAACCCGCUGGCAACAUAGGAUAAGGGUUGCGCUCGUUGCGGGACUUAACCCAACAUCUCACGACACGAGCUGACGACAACCAUGCACCACCUGUAAACCGACCGCAAGCGGGGCACCUGUCUCCAGGCGUUACCGGUUCAUGUCAAGCCUUGGUAAGGUUCUUCGCGUUGCAUCGAAUUAAUCCGCAUGCUCCGCCGCUUGUGCGGGCCCCCGUCAAUUCCUUUGAGUUUUAGCCUUGCGGCCGUACUCCCCAGGCGGGAUACUUAACGCGUUAGCUCCGACACCGAAGGGGUCGAUCCCCCCGGCACCGAGUGCCCAUCGUUUACCGCGUGGACUAC